UGACUCCUGCAGAGGCAAGGCUGCAGCAUUAUCGUGGUGAUGGCGUGUGCGAUUAUCACCUAUCAUUGAGAUAAUUGGGUAAUAGGGUUAAUGGGUUUUGCUGUGGUGCUCGGCGCUCCUCAUUACAAACAGGUACAGACUGCUUUAUUUAUGACUUCUACACUUCACCAGAUGUCCAGUGGCAUCAGGACGAGCCAGAGUUACUCUGAAGUUGGCAUCCAGAUUCACAGCAGUGUAGGGGAACCUUCACUCCUGGACUCCUGCAGCCCCUGCCUGUUCCCCUCCACCCCUGCUCAUACUGUGGACGUGUCAUGUGUUUGCCUCCAUCUAAAGUUUGUGUCUUUCCUUCCUUUCCUCUGUCUUUCUGUGUCCUCAUCUUGCAGGUAGCAGGAUCCAGAUCUAUGUUUGAGGGUAUUAUUAUCAUUCUUAUCAUAAAUAUCAUCACCAUUAUCAUUGUGCUGUAAUUAAAGUUGAUAUCAGUA